rnacentral:rRNA from 1 species
UACAGAGGAUGCAAGCGUUAUCCGGAAUGAUUGGGCGUAAAGCGUCUGUAGGUGGCUUUUAAGUCCGCCGUCAAAUCCCAGGGCUCAACUCUGGACAGGCGGUGGAAACUACCAAGCUGGAGUACGGUAGGGGCAGAGGGAAUUUCCGGUGGAGCGGGUGAAAUGACGUAGAGAUCGGAAAGAACACCAACGGCGAAAGCACUCUGGCUGGGCCGACACUGACACUGAGAGACGAAGCUAGGGGAGCGAA